CCCGACACGGGCCCGGCACCGCCAGAGCACCCAGGCUGGGCGCAGCUUGUGAAUCACGGUGCUUGCUGCAGAUCAAAAGGGGUCCACUACACCAUAUGCACACAAUGGUGCCCAGGUUUGGACUCUACAGGAAAUUUCAAUGUGCUAACAGUUGGCACUUUAUUUGUGGACACACCCUUUACUUCCAAAUGCACAGCACUUCAGCUUCAGGAAAGCAGUUACUGUAUGACAGCUUUUUAAAGUGACCUGUACAGCAUUCUUGGCAAAUACAUCCUGUUCCUUAAAUGGUGCUUUUGAUUUAGGGUUAAAAAUGAAAGGCAAAUCCCUGUGAACCAUUUAUGUCCCAUAUAUUGUCUGCAA